rnacentral:rRNA from 1 species
CCAUCCUCCAAGGCUAAAUACUCCUGACUGACCGAUAGUGAACCAGUACCGUGAGGGAAAGGCGAAAAGAACCCCGGCGAGGGGAGUGAAAAAGAACCUGAAACCGUGUACGUACAAGCAGUGGGAGCACGCUUAGGCGUGUGACUGCGUACCUUUUGUAUAAUGGGUCAGCGACUUAUAUUCUGUAGCAAGGUUAACCGAAUAGGGGAGCCGAAGGGAAACCGAGUCUUAACUGGGCGUUAAGUUGCAGGGUAUAGACCCGAAACCCGGUGAUCUAGCCAUGGGCAGGUUGAAGGUUGGGUAACACUAACUGGAGGACCGAACCGACUAAUGUUGAAAAAUUAGCGGAUGACUUGUGGCUGGGGGUGAAAGGCCAAUCAAACCGGGAGAUAGCUGGUUCUCCCCGAAAGCUAUUUAGGUAGCGCCUCGUGAAUUCAUCUCCGGGGGUAGAGCACUGUUUCGGCAAGGGGGUCAUCCCGACUUACCAACCCGAUGCAAACUGCGAAUACCGGAGAAUGUUAUCACAGGAGACACACGGCGGGUGCUAACGUCCGUCGUGAAGAGGGAAACAACCCAGACCGCCAGCUAAGGUCCCAAAGUCAUGGUUAAGUGGGAAACGAUGUGGGAAGGCCCAGACAGCCAGGAUGUUGGCUUAGAAGCAGCCAUCAUUUAAAGAAAGCGUAAUAGCUCACUGGUCGAGUCGGCCUGCGCGGAAGAUGUAACGGGGCUAAACCAUGCACCGAAGCUGCGGCAGCGACGCUUAUGCGUUGUUGGGUAGGGGAGCGUUCUGUAAGCCUGCGAAGGUGUGCUGUGAGGCAUGCUGGAGGUAUCAGAAGUGCGAAUGCUGACAUAAGUAACGAUAAAGCGGGUGAAAAGCCCGCUCGCCGGAAGACCAAGGGUUCCUGUCCAACGUUAAUCGGGGCAGGGUGAGUCGACCCCUAAGGCGAGGCCGAAAGGCGUAGUCGAUGGGAAACAGGUUAAUAUUCCUGUACUUGGUGUUACUGCGAAGGGGGGACGGAGAAGGCUAUGUUGGCCGGGCGACGGUUGUCCCGGUUUAAGCGUGUAGGCUGGUUUUCCAGGCAAAUCCGGAAAAUCAAGGCUGAGGCGUGAUGACGAGGCACUACGGUGCUGAAGCAACAAAUGCCCUGCUUCCAGGAAAAGCCUCUAAGCAUCAGGUAACAUCAAAUCGUACCCCAAACCGACACAGGUGGUCAGGUAGAGAAUACCAAGGCGCUUGAGAGAACUCGGGUGAAGGAACUAGGCAAAAUGGUGCCGUAACUUCGGGAGAAGGCACGCUGAUAUGUAGGUGAAGUCCCUUGCGGAUGGAGCUGAAAUCAGUCGAAGAUACCAGCUGGCUGCAACUGUUUAUUAAAAACACAGCACUGUGCAAACACGAAAGUGGACGUAUACGGUGUGACGCCUGCCCGGUGCCGGAAGGUUAAUUGAUGGGGUCAGCGCAAGCGAAGCUCUUGAUCGAAGCCCCGGUAAACGGCGGCCGUAACUAUAACGGUCCUAAGGUAGCGAAAUUCCUUGUCGGGUAAGUUCCGACCUGCACGAAUGGCGUAAUGAUGGCCAGGCUGUCUCCACCCGAGACUCAGUGAAAUUGAACUCGCUGUGAAGAUGCAGUGUACCCGCGGCAAGACGGAAAGACCCCGUGAACCUUUACUAUAGCUUGACACUGAACAUUGAGCCUUGAUGUGUAGGAUAGGUGGGAGGCUUUGAAGUGUGGACGCCAGUCUGCAUGGAGCCGGCCUUGAAAUACCACCCUUUAAUGUUUGAUGUUCUAACGUGGACCCGUGAUCCGGGUUGCGGACAGUGUCUGGUGGGUAGUUUGACUGGGGCGGUCUCCUCCUAAAGAGUAACGGAGGAGCACGAAGGUUGGCUAAUCCUGGUCGGACAUCAGGAGGUUAGUGCAAUGGCAUAAGCCAGCUUGACUGCGAGCGUGACGGCGCGAGCAGGUGCGAAAGCAGGUCAUAGUGAUCCGGUGGUUCUGAAUGGAAGGGCCAUCGCUCAACGGAUAAAAGGUACUCCGGGGAUAACAGGCUGAUACCGCCCAAGAGUUCAUAUCGACGGCGGUGUUUGGCACCUCGAUGUCGGCUCAUCACAUCCUGGGGCUGAAGUAGGUCCCAAGGGUAUGGCUGUUCGCCAUUUAAAGUGGUACGCGAGCUGGGUUUAGAACGUCGUGAGACAGUUCGGUCCCUAUCUGCCGUGGGCGCUGGAGAACUGAGGGGGGCUGCUCCUAGUACGAGAGGACCGGAGUGGACGCAUCACUGGUGUUCGGGUUGUCAUGCCAAUGGCACUGCCCGGUAGCUAAAUGCGGAAGAGAUAAGUGCUGAAAGCAUCUAAGCACGAAACUUGCCCCGAGAUGAGUUCUCCCUGACCCUUUAAGGGUCCUGAAGGAACGUUGAAGACGACGACGUUGAUAGGCCGGGUGUGUAAGCGCAGCGAUGCGUUGAGCUAACCGGUACUAAUGAACCGUGAGGCUUAACCUU